UGCACCGUGAUGUGGCGCUCGGUUGUGCGGGGUCGCACCCCCACGGAGUCGGUCCACGGGUCCGAGAGCCCCCUGCCGCCGGCCCGGAGCGCGGCGUCGUUCUCCCCCAUGGUGGCCGCGAAGGCGGUAGCGUUCAGUCCUCUGGGUGGGAUGUGCUCGAGGCGGCGGCGGCAGCAGCAGAGGAGGCGCCCGAGCCAUGCACUCCGCAGCCGGGGGCGAGAGGAUGGCCGGGGAAGAAGAGAGCGGGGUGAACCAGGCGGGCGAAGUCCCAGGGCCGCAGAGCUGCGCCGGGAAUCUGCCCUGAAGAAGCCGUCUCCUCCAGCCUGGACACUUUAAGCAGCGGUGGCGGCAAACGCCGUGAGGUUGCAGACCGGACAGCGAGCUUCCCUCGUUCCGACGUUGCUCUGACCUCCGGAGAUGACAAGUGAGCAAGAAGUGUCCGGUUGGGCCAUCCCCUUCAGUACAAUCCCAAAAUAGAUUAUGAGUGUCUACAAAGAGAAGAACACCAUGCUAUGUUCUAUAGCAGUGAUCUUGAACUCUGGCUGCAUGUUAAAAUAACCUAGGGAGUAUUGAUAAAAUACCAAUGGCCAGGCCUACCCGAUUGAAUUGAAUCAAGAUCUCUGGGGCUGAGACUCAAGUACCCCACAGCCUGGUUUCAAGGUAGGCCAAAAACCAGAUGUACACAUUCGUGUGGAUAGAUCUCAAGAGGAAGCCCUCUAGUCCAAUCUCAAGGAGCACAGAAGUCUACUGGCAGCAACUAUCAUUUCAGCAGAAGCCCACAAGCACCUAAAACUCCAAGGAAGAGAAACUUUCCUCUCUGACCAAAGGAGCUGUGGUCCCAAGAAUGUGGCAAGAACUUCUGUUGUUUUCUGUUGUUUUUUCUCUCUGUGUACUGAUGACAAUAGAUGACUACAAACUCUCUAAAGAGUUGGUGCAAGUUUUGGUUUGGUCCUGAAGUUGGGUGCAGGUGCAAGAGCUGUAUGACAGAGCAGAGUGAAUAAAACCUCAGCUUUCCAGACAGAGGACCAUAAAAGGGAGCCACAGGAACCGUAAACUAUAGAGGAGCUAAUGGAGAGGAAAGAGCUCAAGAAAGCAACAUUAUAGGGUUAUUUAUGAAUUCCUGGGCUCAUCCUGGAGCUGCACAUACAUGGAUCUAAUCCUAAAUGGUAUAUUAAAUACUUUGAUAACUGAAAUGAGAGACAAAACCCUCCCAGGUCCCAAACUGGCCACUGGAUGUGGGACAAAUCCACAUAGUUCAGCAAAGGUUUUGAAAUAAAACUGAA